rnacentral:rRNA from 1 species
UACGUAGGGGGGCUAGCGUUGUCCGGAAUCAUUGGGCGUAAAGCGCGUGUAGGCGGUCCGGUAAGUCCGCUGUGAAAGUCGGGGGGCUCAACCCUCGGAUGCCGGUGGAGUACUGUCGGGCUUGAGUACGGAAGAGGCGAGUGGAAUUCCUGGUGUAGCGGUGAAAAUGCGCAGAUAUCAGGAGGAACACCAAUUGCGAAGGCAGCUCGCUGGGACGUUAACUGACGCUGAGACGCGAAAGCGUGGGGAGCAAACAGG